UACGAAGGGGGCUAGCGUUGCUCGGAAUCACUGGGCGUAAAGGGUGCGUAGGCGGGUCUUUAAGUCGGGGGUGAAAUCCUGGAGCUCAACUCCAGAACUGCCUUCGAUACUGAAGAUCUCGAGUCCGGGAGAGGUGAGUGGAACUCCGAGUGUAGAGGUGAAAUUCGUAGAUAUUCGGAAGAACACCAGUGGCGAAGGCGGCUCACUGGCCCGGUACUGACGCUGAGGUGCGAAAGCGUGGGGAGCAAACAGG
rnacentral:rRNA from 1 species